rnacentral:rRNA from 1 species
UACGUAGGGUGCAAGCGUUAAUCGGAAUUACUGGGCGUAAAGCGUGCGCAGGCGGUUAUGCAAGACAGAUGUGAAAUCCCCGGGCUUAACCUGGGAACUGCAUUUGUGACUGCAUAGCUGGAGUCCGGUAGAGGGGGAUGGAAUUCCGCGUGUAGCAGUGAAAUGCGUAGAUAUGCGGAGGAACACCGAUGGCGAAGGCAGUCCCCUGGACCUGUACUGACGCUCAUGCACGAAAGCGUGGGGAGCAAACAGG